AACUGUAGUAAUUCUAGAGCUAAUACAUGCCACUAUGCCCUGACCCGUAAGGGAACGGGUGGAUUUAUUAGAACAGAACCAACCGGUUAUGGCUUCGGUCGUGACUGAUUAAUUCUGUGAUGACUCUGGAUAACUUUACUGAUCGCAGUCGGCCUUGUGUCGGCGACGGAUCAUUCAAAUGUCUGCCCUAUCAAUUGACGAUGGUAGGUGACCUGCCUACCAUGGUGAUAACGGGUAACGGGGAAUCAGGGUUCGAUUCCGGAGAGGGAGCCUGAGAAACGGCUACCACUUCCAAGGAAGGGCAGCAGGCACGCAAAUUACCCACUCUCGGCACGAGGGAGGUAGUGACGAUAAAUACGAAUACGGGACUCAUAUGAGGCUCCGUAAUUCGAAUGAGUACA
rnacentral:rRNA from 1 species